rnacentral:lncRNA from 1 species
CCUGGGUGACAGAGUGGGACUCUGUCUCAAAAAAUAAUUUUAAUGAAACCUGCCUCCCAAACAUUAUAUUGCAGCAAUCUUAGAAGAAUGCACCACCUCUGGAAUAGAGAAGCAGUUGGGAAAGAAGUGUUUCAUGUUUCCUACACCUGGGCAACAGGCAGGCCCCUGACAACCACAAGUAAUUCUUUCCUGAGAGCCGGGAUCUUGCAACAGCUUGUCAUUAGUGCUGUUUAGCAUUUAAUUUGCCUUUAGUUAGGUAACAAGCAUUUAUGGAUUACCUGUUAGGAACGAAUGCACAGUAUGGGAACAGAGGGAUGAAUGAGGCACAGACUCUGCUCACAGCCUACUUGGACUAGAAAUAUCUACUCAGGAAAGAAAACUUGAAAGCAGUUAGCAAAUGCAAACCGAUAUACCACUACAGGGAAUCAUCACUCUUUCCGAAUUCAAGGCUCUAACUGCUGGCACACUUCUAAGGAAAAAAGAUAUGCGUUUCUGCAUCCCGUCUCAUGAUGGGAGUGAAGAUAUGCCAGUCACGCCUUCUGUGGGCUAAGGAACGGUCCGGCCUUCUCUUCCUCUGCAGAGUCCGGGCGUGAUGGAGACGCAGGAUGGAGGCAGCCAUCACCCAUUGAAAAACAGCCUGUCUGCCAGAUCUGGUGACCCCCCCCUAAGGUCCUUGGUAAAAACUGAGGCCUAGUUGUGUCCAGGAUGGCAGUGAGCUGGGAUUCAUUCAUGGCAGCCCCCAGGAGAUUGCGUUUUUAAACCAGCCCAAGGCAUGUGGUGGACAUGGAUUGGCAGCACCUACAGAUAACGGGGAAGGCUUUCCAAGGGGCCAAACGGUCCAUAGCAGUUAGGGAAGCGAACGUUAGAAGUGCAGGUCAAGGUCUCAGAGUGAGCAGUGUGGCUGGGCCAGAGAGGGCCUUCCAAGUGCAUAGCCAGUGGAGGCAGCUGGACACAGCUGACAUGACAAGGCAAGGCUGGAUCCGUCAGACUCUGGGAAUGCUCCCAGCCAUCAGGCUUCACGGAGCACUGCUUCUGUGCUAAGUUCCUGAUGCCAAGGAAAGUGAGAGAGACAUGGCCCUGGCCUCAAGAAGCUUUCCCGGCAGAUGGCCGUGUAUCCGGGAUAUGUUAAGGGAGGUGUAAUAUUAACCAAAAGUGGAGCUCUGAGCUCCUACCCUUGGCAGAGGGCUUCUUGGAGUAGAUCAUGCCUGGACUGUGCCCAAGGGCGUCUUGGAGUAGAUCGUGCCUGGAUCGCACUGAAUCAGUGUAAGCUGGGUCAAGUCGGGGAAUGGCAACCCAGGCGGAGGGAAGUGCAUACUUGGGACACGGAGGGCACAGACAAGCCGUGGUUCUCUGGCAGUGAGAUGGGUGCCAGGCCACAAACUGGAUCUGAGAGAUUAUUUCCCCAUCUGGGAACUGCAUGUACUAUGGAUUGUAAAGGGUCAACCUGAGAGACAGAAACAGGGAAAAGGCCCUCAACCAUUCACUUCAGUGUCUGGGGAUGCGUGGACUGGGGAAGAGUCUCUGGCUGGCUCCAAUGCGGUCUCUGCUUCUGCAGAGGGGGCCUUGCUCACACAGUCUUCAGACUUGCAUUCCCAGCUGGUGCCCAGCACCACGAAUAUAUGGGAAGAUAACAACUCUAAAGAGGGAUAAAAUGUAUUUUUUGGUCGGUUUUUAUUUUUCAAACACAUUUAGCAUUCUCUGGUUUUUAAAAAAUGCUUUUAAUAGAGCACAGACUCCUUUCCUCAGUGGUGAGGAGACAGAUUUAAGGGCUGUAGCUCAGACAGUCAGUGCCAGCUAGCAUUCAGGGAUCCAAGUGUGAGAAUCAAAUUGUCGUUUGAUGUGUGGAUUUGGCAAAGGCUCAGCACGCCUUGGAGACGGUGCCCGUGGCCCACACUGGGUGGCAGGUGCUUCUGCCUUGGGCUCUCUGCUCCUGCCGGCCGGGCCUGUCAUCGGCUGAAAAGCCGGCAUCUCCCACACCCAUCAGCUCCUCUCUGGAGCUGAGUCGCUGGACACUGUGACCACACUUAAGAGGCACAGCAUGCUCCUGCUGGGUGGAAUUUUAGGACACCUGGUCUGUGACCUCUUCAUUAUGACAUAAAAGGGACCUUCCCUGCAGUCCCACAAAUAGGAACAGAGCAGCACUGGAGCUGGCGCCCGACUCCCGGCAGGGAAGGGUUCUGUCCUCAUUUGGGCGUAUUCUGUUUCUGCCCACCUGGUGUGUGCCCUCCCUGACUCCUGCCCCAUUUCCAGACCCGGCUCACGCGUACUUCUCACACUAAGCAGUCUCACUGAAGCCACCGCUUGGAAUCUGCGGUGUUUACUGUCUGCCCCGCCCCUUUUGUUUGCCCGUUUGUUAUGGAGGUGUGUGUUUAAACGGGCAAAGCAGCGUGCUGCCAGGGACACCAGGAAAGCCCACUUAGCCAUCAACUGGAGACUCUGACAACUAGAAGAAACCUGGAAGGCCACGUGACAGAUAUGGAGACAGGCUGAGAGAAGGCAAGGGUCAUACAUGCCUGGGUCAUGCAGCCAGCCAGGGACAAAGCCGGGACUUUAGAGCCCAGGUCCUCUGCUCCCUGCCAGGCCUCCUUCCACAAGGACGUGGGCGAUUGCUGAGAGCAGAGCCCCGAGGGAAUGGAAUGGAGGGAACUUGAUUAGAAGGGGGAGAAUACCAAGCACAGGGCCUUGCAGAGCAGGUGCUCCUAAAUGCCCAAGAGAUGCAGGAAGAGAGGGAGAGAUGGGAGUGUCAAGGAAGGGUCUCAGUAGCUCUAUGGGCACCACGUUUCUGGGCUUGGGACAGAGAAAGAAGGGCAGAAGGAAGGGCACCGGAAACACAGCUACACCUAGAUUUGGAAAGCCAGUGACCUCGGAAAGGAUGGUCCGGACAUGGGGAAGACCACGAGCCAGGCUGCACUUGUAGGAAGGACCAGGACCUGAGCCACUGGCAGUAAAGAAAUGUCACUAAGGAAGUGGGGGCAAUGGCAGGAAGUGGGGGUCCAGGGUAAGGAGACAGGAGGCCAGGCUGGGUCUUGUUUGGGAAGAUGCAGCCUCCAUGGGCCAAGCAGGAACAGUAGGAAAACCCUGACGGUGCAGUCCCCACUCUCAGGACGUCCCUGUCUCCAAAGGAAACAGCCACACAACACUGAGAGUGGAAGAGGAUGUCAAUGGGCAGGAAUGGAGCCAAACUCUACGGGAGAACGGAGCUGGCCAGGCAGAGCUGCUGGACACCUGAGGCUCCCUCCUUCCACCACAAACACCACUGCCCCAUGGCCUAGAGAGAACCAUCCUCUGACGUGAGCAGGACAAUGACGAUCACCACUGUGUAAAUCCUGACACUGGACCAGAGGAAUUGACUUACCUGCUUCAGCUCCAGGUGAGCACAGCCAGAACCAUGCUCAGAAGCCAGCACACGAAGGCCUGCAACUGCAGACCCCUAAGAAACCUUGGAGAUGCUCUCAGACAGUGCCCACCUCACUUUGCAGAUGGAGUGACUCACAGCUGGGACAAAGGUCCACUCGCUCUUGCCCCUGCAGUCUACCCACAAAGCAGCCAGGAGAGCUUCUAAAAAUGCAAAGCAGGUGGCGUUCUUCUGAAUAAGCCCUCCCAUGGCUCCCUAUCUUAGUACAAAAGCUGAAAUCUCAUGACCUGUGAGGCCCUCCAGCUGGCUCGCAGCCACCCCUCCAAAACCGAGUGCCUGCCAGCGCAUUGCCCACCCAGCUGCAGCCAGGCCCCCCACUGCUCAGCACCAUCUCCUCAGAGGCCCCCCCAUUCUUCCACGGGCAUGUUCCCUAUCCCCUUAGAGCACGCUUGGGCCUGAACUGAUCUUGGGUUCUGUCGCCUGUCUACCCCACUGGAAUGCAAACUCCACAGAGGCAGGGCUUUCUCUGUCCCCUGCCGCAUCCACAGUGCCGGGAACAGUGCCUGGCAUGGAGCAGGUGCAGUCGAAUGACCGACUCCAUGAAGUGAGGUGAGUCACCCACCACGCAGGGAAGAGUGGACAUGGGUAAACAGGCGCUGCCUGGGCUCCAGGCACACUGACUGCAUCCUGGCUGCUUGACUGAUGUGGUUAAUAAAUUACUAGAAGGCAAGCCCUCUAGGGCACAGCAGACUGGAUACUUGAUUAACCCAGGGUCUGUGUUAAUUCCAGGUGCCAAAAUAAUUUCUAGAAUUUCACCUGAGACCUAGAGGUAGUUCAUUUGAAAAUAAACAUGAUUUUCCAGAAGGCUCGAGCUUUCUCAAGGAAAGCAAUGCCCUGGACUCUCCUUCCACAGGAAAUCAGGAAGACAGGCUUUGGAAUUCCCAGUGGGGAAGCACAGUUGGAGGGGCCGGCCUCGGGCACCACAGUGCGCAACGCUGAACACAGGGCUCCCAGGCAGAGACUGGGAGGUCCCGACACCUGGACCCACAGGUGCACCCGCAUCUCCCAUGCUUUUACCCUUUCUCCUCCACCCCAUUUAUAGAAGUGAUCAGAGGUGAAUGAGGAAAUAGUGGGGGAACUGACCCCCUGGAAAGUCUGAAUUUGAGUGAAAUAAUGGGGAGAAGUGAACCCCUGGAAAGUCUGAAUUCUGCUUCAUCAAAGCCCAACACGGGCCUGUUUCCCUCUGCUGUCAACCCCAGGGAAUGGGGUGUCAA